rnacentral:rRNA from 2 species
CUUAAGCAUGCAAGUCAAACGGGAUGUAGCAAUACAUCUAGUGGCGAACGGGUGAGUAACGCGUGGAUGAUCUACCUACGAGAUGGGGAUAACUAUUAGAAAUAGUAGCUAAUACCGAAUAAAGUCAAUUAAUUUGUUAAUUGAUGAAAGGAAGCCUUUAAAGCUUCGCUUGUAGAUGAGUCUGCGUCUUAUUAGUUAGUUGGUAGGGUAAAUGCCUACCAAGGCGAUGAUAAGUAACCGGCCUGAGAGGGUGAACGGUCACACUGGAACUGAGAUACGGUCCAGACUCCUACGGGAGGCAGCAGCUAAGAAUCUUCCGCAAUGGGCGAAAGCCUGACGGAGCGACACUGCGUGAAUGAAGAAGGUCGAAAGAUUGUAAAAUUCUUUUAUAAAUGAGGAAUAAGCUUUGUAGGAAAUGACGAAGUGAUGACGUUAAUUUAUGAAUAAGCCCCGGCUAAU